rnacentral:piRNA from 1 species
AAGACUAGCCUAUAAUUUAAA